UAGUCCACGCUGUAAACUAUGAUAACUCGUUGUUGGCAAUACAUCGUCAGCGACUGAGCGAAAGCGUUAAGUUAUCCACCUGGGGAGUACGAUCGCAAGGUUGAAACUCAAAGGAAUUGACGGGGGCCCGCACAAGCGGAGGAACAUGUGGUUUAAUUCGAUGCUACGCGAGGAACCUUACCUGGGCUUAAAUGCAAAACGACAUUUCGGGAAACUGAAAGUCCCUUCGGGGCGUAUUGCAAGGUGCUGCAUGGUUGUCGUCAGCUCGUGCCGUGAGGUAUCGGGUUAAGUCCCAUAACGAGCGCAACCCCUAUUGUUAGUUGCCAGCGGGUAAUGCCGGGAACUCUAACGAAACUGCCUGUGUAAGCAGGAGAAGGUGGGGAUGACGUCAAAUCAGCACGGCCCUUAUGUCCAGGGGCUACACACGUGUUACAAUGGCAGGGUACAAAGGGGCAGCUACCACGCGAGUGGAUGCUAAUCUCUAAAACCUGUCCCAGUUCGGGAUCGGGAGUCUGCAAUUCGAC
rnacentral:rRNA from 1 species